UGGGGAAUAUUGCACAAUGGGCGCAAGCCUGAUGCAGCCAUGCCGCGUGUAUGAAGAAGGCCUUCGGGUUGUAAAGUACUUUCAGCGGGGAGGAAGGCGAUAAGGUUAAUAACCUUGUCGAUUGACGUUACCCGCAGAAGAAGCACCGGCUAACUCCGUGCCAGCAGCCGCGGUAAUACGGAGGGUGCAAGCGUUAAUCGGAAUUACUGGGCGUAAAGCGCACGCAGGCGGUCUGUCAAGUCGGAUGUGAAAUCCCCGGGCUCAACCUGGGAACUGCAUUCGAAACUGGCAGGCUAGAGUCUUGUAGAGGGGGGUAGAAUGCCAGGUGUAGCGGUGAAAUGCGUAGAGAUCUGGAGGAAUACCGGUGGCGAAGGCGGCCCCCUGGACAAAGACUGACGCUCAGGUGCGAAAGCGUGGGGAGCAAACA
rnacentral:rRNA from 1 species